ACGAAGGGUGCAAGCGUUAAUCGGAAUUACUGGGCGUAAAGCGCGCGUAGGUGGUUCGUUAAGUUGGAUGUGAAAGCCCCGGGCUCAACCUGGGAACUGCAUCCAAAACUGGCGAGCUAGAGUACGGUAGAGGGUGGUGGAAUUUCCUGUGUAGCGGUGAAAUGCGUAGAUAUAGGAAGGAACACCAGUGGCGAAGGCGACCACCUGGACUGAUACUGACACUGAGGUGCGAAAGCGUGGGGAGCAAACAG
rnacentral:rRNA from 1 species